GAGUGGAGUGAUGAUUGUAUUUGAUUCCCUAUUGGUUUGAUUGCCAGUGUGAUGGCACGCAUUAUAAUAGCUUUAUCUGACCACUC
rnacentral:snoRNA from 1 species